UUUUUUAAAAAGGGGGGGAAACUUCAGAAAGAAAAAAACAGUGAUGCAGAAGAACUAAAAAUCUACGUACAUCAAUAUCAAGAAAUUGAUAACCUGAAGAGUUCAGUAAUCAGACCCUCUUCCACCAAUCUAGAGCACUGUUCAAAAUUUAAAAAGAAAAAAAUACAACACAAGUAUCAUCAUUUGUAGUGAAGAAGUAAUUCAAUUUUGGGUCCCUGUGCCAUACCCUAUUUCUUGAGGUAGCAACAUGGAAAGCUUUACACACUGACUACCUCAGCCUCUGUAUGAAUAUUCAGAGCAACUGAAUGGAAAUUUCAGAUAUGGAAAAGUAUGGAAGUACUACCCUCAUCAUUCUUCCAACAGGUUACUGUGCAGUAGAACAGAACAAAAAGGAUGUGGUUGAGAGCAAUCAUUAGAAGGUGGGAAUAAGGCUGCCCAAAAAGUUGUGUGUCCCUUCCCUCAGCCAUCAAAUCUCUGAAGAUGACUGAAUAGCCUUGUUUGUAGAUUAACAGAUGGAAACCAAGUAGUAGUUUUGAAUAAAGAGAUGCAUGAAGGCAUUCCCUAAGGGGCAGCUUCUACUUGUUACAUUGCUAAGAGACCAUACAAUAAGGCAGCAAAAUUAUCAUAGUUGCCCACAAUCAACCUUCUAUUUUGUCCAUAUCUGCAUUUUCCUGAUAUAACUUUCCUUCUGUCCACCGCAUCUGGCAUUCAGUAGUCCACUCCAGUCUUUCAGUCUUCUGCCUUCCUCUGGAAAGACUUGUCAUGCUGCUAUCCAUCAAGCAAGUAGACUACGACUUCAUAGGUUGACAUCAUGAUAGCUGUGUUUGGAAUCUGUCUGACCAGAUGUGUAGUUAAACCUCGGUAGAGGGAUCCAUACCCUUCUUCUCGCACAAGCAAAGAUAAUGUCUGGAAGAAAGAUCUGUAUUUUGUUCCCUCUUCUCUUAGCCUUGUUCUUACAACUUCAUGGGGAUAUGCUAUUGAUGUUGCACACGUUUUAGAAGUGGCAGCAGCCAUCAUCAUUCCAACAAAGUCCGAAGCUUCUUUUGCCGAUUCAUCCUCACUGUCCAUGGCAGAAGCAGUCUUAUGUUCCAGUAGUUUUCUCUUAAUACUCUCAUAAAUAACAAAAUGAAUAACAGUCUCAGAUAUGCCUGCAUAGGAUGCCGACAUUCCUCUGUAAAAGCCUUUAAUACCAUCUGAUCGAUACACUUUCCGGACACAUUCAAAAGCACUCAUUCGUUUUUCUCCACGGUUCCUUGCAUCAAGCUGUAAUCGUGUCUUUACUAGCCAAAUGGGAUUGGUCAUUGUGAUCGCGGUAAAACGAGGUUUAAGUUAGUCCAUAUUUCUGCAGGAAGUGACCUGCGGAUGGGGAGCAUGAGAUGAC
rnacentral:lncRNA from 1 species